AACGAACGCUGGCGGCAUGCCUUACACAUGCAAGUCGAACGGCAGCGGACCUUCGGGUGCCGGCGAGUGGCGAACGGGUGAGUAAUAUAUCGGAACGUACCUUUCAGUGGGGGAUAACGUAGCGAAAGUUACGCUAAUACCGCAUAUUCUGUGAGCAGGAAAGCAGGGGAUCGCAAGACCUUGCGCUGAUUGAGCGGCCGAUAUCAGAUUAGCUAGUUGGUGAGGUAAAGGCUCACCAAGGCGACGAUCUGUAGCGGGUCUGAGAGGAUGAUCCGCCACACUGGAACUGAGACACGGUCCAGACUCCUACGGGAGGCAGCAGUGGGGAAUUUUGGACAAUGGGCGCAAGCCUGAUCCAGCCAUGCCGCGUGAGUGAAGAAGGCCUCGG
rnacentral:rRNA from 1 species